GUGUCAGCAGCCGCGGUGAUACGUAGGGUGCGAGCGUUGUCCGGAUUUAUUGGGCGUAAAGGGCUCGUAGGCGGUUGAUCGCGUCGGAAGUGAAAACUUGGGGCUUAACCCUGAGCGUGCUUUCGAUACGGGUUGACUUGAGGAAGGUAGGGGAGAAUGGAAUUCCUGGUGGAGCGGUGGAAUGCGCAGAUAUCAGGAGGAACACCAGUGGCGAAGGCGGUUCUCUGGACCUUUCCUGACGCUGAGGAGCGAAAGCGUGGGGAGCAAACAGGCUUAGAUACCCUGGUAGUCCACGCUGUAAACGGUGGGUACUAGGUGUGGGGUCCAUUCCACGGAUUCCGUGCCGUAGCUAACGCAUUAAGUACCCCGCCUGGGGAGUACGGCCGCAAGGCUAAA
rnacentral:rRNA from 1 species